CCUACGGGUGGCAGCAGUGAGGAAUAUUGGUCAAUGGCCGUAAGGCUGAACCAGCCAAGUAGCGUGAGGGAAGACUGCCCUAUGGGUUGUAAACCUCUUUUAUGCGGGGAUAAAGGUGUCCACGUGUGGAUGUUUGCAGGUACCGCAUGAAUAAGGACCGGCUAAUUCCGUGCCAGCAGCCGCGGUAAUACGGAAGGUCCGGGCGUUAUCCGGAUUUAUUGGGUUUAAAGGGAGCGUAGGUCGGUCUUUAAGCGUGCCGGGAAAUUUUGUGGCUCAACCAUGAGAGUGCGGCGCGAACUGGCGACCUUGAGUGCGCGGAAGGCAGGCGGAAGUCGUGGUGUAGCGGUGAAAUGCUUAGAUAUCACGAAGAACCCCGAUUGCGAAGGCAGCCUGCCGCAGCGUUACUGACGCUGAAGCUCGAAAGCGUGGGUAUCGAACAGGAUUAGAUACCCGGGUAGUC
rnacentral:rRNA from 1 species